GACGAACGCUGGCGGCGUGCUUAACACAUGCAAGUCGAACGGAAAGGCCCUGCUUUUGUGGGGUGCUCGAGUGGCGAACGGGUGAGUAACACGUGAGUAACCUGCCCUUGACUUUGGGAUAACUUCAGGAAACUGGGGCUCAUACCGGAUAGGAGCUCCUGCUGCAUGGUGGGGGUUGGAAAGUUUCGGCGGUUGGGGAUGGACUCGCGGCUUAUCAGCUUGUUGGUGGGGUAGUGGCUUACCAAGGCUUUGACGGGUAGCCGGCCUGAGAGGGUGACCGGCGACAUUGGGACUGAGAUACGGCGCAGACGCGUACGGGAGGCAGCAGUGGGGAAUAUGGCACAAUGGGCGGAAGCCAGAUGCAGCAACGCCGCGUGCGGGAUGACGUCUUUCGGGUGGUAAACCGCUUUCGCCUGUGACGAAGCGGGAGUGACGGUAAUGGGUAAAGAAGCACCGGCUAACUACGUG
rnacentral:rRNA from 1 species